rnacentral:rRNA from 3 species
AGCGUAGGUGGCCUAACAUGUCAACUGUGAAAACCCGGAGCUCAACUCCGGACUUGCAGUUGAAACUGGUAGGCUUGAGGACGGUAGAGGAAGACGGAACUGCCAGUGUAGGGGUAAAAUCCUUAGAUAUUGGCAGGAACGCCGGUGACGAAGGUGGUUUUCUGGGCCGGUUCUGACACUGAUGCUCGAAAGCCAGGGGAGCGAACG